rnacentral:rRNA from 1 species
UCCUACGGGAGGCAGCAGUGGGGAAUCUUAGACAAUGGGGGAAACCCUGAUCUAGCCAUGCCGCGUGAGUGACGAAGGCCCUAGGGUCGUAAAGCUCUUUCGCCAGGGAAGAUAAUGACGGUACCUGGUAAAGAAACCCCGGCUAACUCCGUGCCAGCAGCCGCGGUAAUACGGAGGGGGUUAGCGUUGUUCGGAAUUACUGGGCGUAAAGCGCGCGUAGGCGGACUGUUAAGUCAGGGGUGAAAUCCCGGGGCUCAACCCCGGAACUGCCCUUGAUACUGGCAGUCUUGAGUUCGAGAGAGGUGAGUGGAACUCCGAGUGUAGAGGUGAAAUUCGUAGAUAUUCGGAAGAACACCAGUGGCGAAGGCGGCUCACUGGCUCGAUACUGACGCUGAGGUGCGAAAGUGUGGGGAGCAAACAGGAUUAGAUACCCUGGUAGUCCACACCGUAAACGAUGAAUGCCAGUCGUCGGGUAGCAUGCUAUUCGGUGACACACCUAACGGAUUAAGCAUUCCGCCUGGGGAGUACGGCCGCAAGGUUAAAACUCAAAUGAAUUGACGGA